GGACUGGGACGUGUGGGCUCUUCCUCAGUCCCAGAGAGGAAGAUUUUUAGAACUCAGUCUGAGGGCUCAGCCGUCUUUGGGGCAUUUGAGUUUUUUGAUUUUGGCUGUGCCCCUUUCUGUUUUCUGGGGACUGGGCUCAGAUUCACCUUGGGCUUUUUCAGUAGGUCUCCUACCAUCGAUGCAGGGAUGGUGGCAGGGAAACCUGGCCAAGGGGUUAAGGGCACACCUGACUGCCACCCAUCUAUCUCUACAAGGUGCAGGCAGAGAUUAGGAAGUCAUGGAGCCGCUGGACACUGGCGUUGGACUUCAAGCGCAAAGCACGAAGUGGGAGUAGCAGCUACAGCUAUGGCCCAAUGGUGUCUCACACGAGUGUGACCAAUGUGGGCCCCCGUGCAGGACUCAGCCUCCCCCUCAGCCCCCGCCUGCCUCCUGCCACUACCAAUGGCCACUCCCAGCUGCCUGGCCAUGCCAAGCCAGGGGCUCCAGCCACUGAGACUGAAACCCUACCAGUCACUAUGGCGGUUCCCAAGGACGAUGGAUUCCUUAACGGCUCCUGCUCAGGCCUGGAUGAGGAGGCCUCCGGGUCUGCGCGGCCGCCUCCAUUGUUGCAGGAAGAAUGG
rnacentral:lncRNA from 1 species